rnacentral:tRNA from 1 species
AGCGCACCCCUGAUAAGGGUGAGGUCACUGGUUCGAAUCCAGUUAGGCCCACCA